AUUCAUCCAAUAUAUCAUCAAGCACAUAAGCAGCAUCACGCAGUUGCUGUAGCCACUCUUUGACAGCAUCGUUUGUUAUUUGCUUCUUUUCAGCAUCUUUUAGGACAGCACGGAUUAAAGUGAGCUUUCUAGAUAGGCUUUGGGUCAAUUCUCCAACACCCAAAUAGGUAGCAAGCUCCUCUUGUACAAAUGAUCCGAGGUUUUGAAUCAAGAUUCCAAGUAAAGCAUCAGCCAUUUUCAGAUGUGAGAACAGAAAUGAAUCAAAGUUGUUUGGAUUGGAGAUGAUUUUGCUCUAGGAAGAUGAAAUAUGAGUUGUUAUUUGUUUUCAAAGAUUAUAUAUUAAAUCAGUGGAUGUAGUUCUUCUGCAACAUGUCAAAAUUGGCUGCUAUAGAAAAAUAAAUAAUUAGUGAAUGACAGUGGGAAAAAACAAGUGUUGAAGGCACAUGGCCAUGAAAGGGAAAAAAACAAAAUUGGAAAACUUAUCUUAUGAAACAACAUCAUGCUCGUUCAUUUGUUCUUGUGUGGCCUAGAUUUCAUCAAAGAAAAUCCAAUACCAAAUAAUUGUAAUACUAAUUAUUAUUUAAUAUUUCAAGUUGGCAGUGUACCUGAAGUGCAAGUGGAUCAAGUAUGGUGGGAUGGCAUCAAGUUGGCAAGUGACACAUGAUUGACGGUGGUUGUGUUUUGUUUUUGAGAAGAAGAAGAAGAGUCUGCUACGAGAGUAGCACUGAACGUGUUCUAUUUUUGUUCCUUUCUAUUAUUUUAUUUGAUUUUUGUUUUUAAAAAAAGAAGUGACACAUGGUGCAAUAUUACUGGCUAUGUCAUGUGACAUAGCCCACCACAAUGUUACGGAAGUGCAAUCCCUUAAAAUAUGGUUCAUUUUAUUCUAUUCGUGUAUCUGUUAAGAUAGUUGUCAUGUACUAAUCAUGAUAAAUAUUAUUUCUGGAUACCGUGCAUACAUAAUUUAGAUCAUCCUUAAUUAUAUGUGUAACCCACGAUGCGGGAUAAAUACACUAGUAAAUAAAUAUAUAUAAACAGUAAAAUUGAAGACAACAGCGCACAUCUGAGCGUUACACAUCUAUAUCUUCAAUUAUGUUGUCAAAAUCUUGUUUCACGACGAAGUCAAACAUAAUAUCCGAAUAUUGCGUCGAUGCUGGCUUUUUAUCCUCUGCACACAUUGUUCAAUAUAAGUAUAAAAUCACACCAUAUUUGAUAUAGUAAAAAAAGUGAAAGGAAUAAAAUAAAGAGAUUCAUUCAAUUAAAUUACCACUAAUUGUUGGUUCUGCAUCAGAUUGCAAUUUGUAAUUCAAUUCAACUUCAGGAAUGUGAGCUAUCUUAUGCCAAUCUUCACCUAUACCUCUCUUGCAUCUCUUCUCCAACUUAGGGCAACCACAAAUUCUUAACUUUUGCAAGUUUUGGAGUUGCUGAAAGUUGUCUGGCAGUGAACUUAACUUUGAAGAGGAGCUAAAUAGUGGACUGAUUUCUAAUACUUGAAGAGAAGUCAUGGCACCCAAACAGUCUGGCAAGGAUGUUCGUGAAUGAAAAUCAAACAGACACAAUCUUUUCAGUGAGGGGAUGCCUUCUAUGCCAUCUAGUAUGUUUUCAUUACAAUCCGAGAGUCGCAGUUCACGGAGGGAAGUUAGACUGUUCAUGUUAUGUGGAAAAACAAUUUGUUUACAGAAAAGGAUUUUAAGAGUCUCGAGACAAGUUAGGUGUUUGAUACCCUCAGACAGGGAUUUGAAUUUAUUGCAGCUAGAAACAUACAAAUUUCGAAGAGAACUCAAACCUUGCAACAAGUGCUCUGAAAAUGACUCCAAUUCAUCACAUAAAUCAAUUCUAAGAAAUUCUAAUGCACUAAGAGUACUGAGUUCAACAGGUAAUUCCUUGAGUUCUUUAAAGCCUGAUAUCCAAAGUGACUUAAGAUUGUUACCAGCAAUUCCCCGUGAAGCUACAUCUUCAUUGCAAUUGUUGUAAAAAAUGGACUUCAAUAAUUCUUCAUUUCCUCGACUAGCAUAAAGUGACUCCAUAGAUGGAAGGGACUGCAAUGCAAGUUUAGGGACAUCUGUUAUAGCUAACUUCAAAAGCUGUUGUAGCAUCUCUACUCCUUCGACUUUCAACACCCUCUCUAAAUUUGGUAAGUCAGCCAAAGUAAAUUUUUUCAGUGACGUAAAAGCCUUCUCAGUCGUAGGUUCAUACAAACUAUCAUCAAUGUACUUUAAAUCUCUCAUUCUAGAUACAGAAAGGAAAGUUAAGCAUGGUAAUUUACCAAAUGGAGGAAUCUGCCUGCAGUUUUUACAGUCAUAGAGAAUAAUACUAACUAGACCUUUUAGAAUAGAAGUAUUUCUCAUCCAAUGAGGAAAAUGUGCUCCCAUAUAACCCUGCAACCCAAAACUCUUUAGACCUGAAUGAGGCUCAAGAGUUUCUAUUACUUGCUCAGCAUGAAUACUACUAACUUGUGAAUUAGUAUAAUCACCCCAUGACAAAUAUAAGCGAUUUAAGUCCUUCUUGCCAAUCAAAUUAGCUUUUCUUGCAUCCUCUUCAAUCGACACUUUCUGAAGGCCUUUAAUGUGUAGCUUUCCUCCUAAUUGUAAGUUGUGUAGCUCUGCUAAACCAAACCCAGUUUUUGAACCAACAAUGAAAAUGGUCAAUGUUUUCAGACAAGUUAACUCCCCAAUUUUAAAAGGAGUUGAUUUCAAUGAACUGCAAUUUUUAAUCAUGAGAUGUCGAAGGUCCUUCAAUUUUGUAAAUUGUUUGGGAAAAUCAGAUAGAUGAUGACAUUUUUCAAGUUUUAGUGUUUGCAAUUUCUGUAGUCUGCAAACAGAACCAGGCAAGGUAAUGAAGUCACAAGAUGAAAGUUCCAAGUACCUCAAAUGCAUUAAAUUUGAUGAUGAGAGUCGAUGAGACUUUGUAUGUAAAGCUCGAAGCGAAGUGGUUGAUAGAAACACAUCUAGAUUCUUUGAGGGUGGUUUAUACUCAAGAAAGGUUCGCAAGGAAUCAAAUUUUUGGAAGGGAAUCAUGUAGUCAUAUCUGAAUUUUUUAUCAAAGAGACUUAUAUGGUGAACUCUAAUUGACAAAUUUGUUAAAUUUGAAGCAUCUGAAGAAAUACAUUCAUCUCCCAUAAUAGACACUGCUAAAUCAUGGACAAAAUCAUGCAUUUUGAAAGUAAUGUUACCUACAAAAUCUGAUUUAACUUCUUCAAAUAAUGACCUUUGGUAUAAUUCAUUCCAUACCUCAUUACCAACAUGCUCCAUCUGUAAGUUUCCUCUAGAUGUAACAAGUCCAUUAGCCAUCCAAAGUUGAAUGAGAUUUUCCUUCACCAUUUCAUAAUCUUUGGGAAAAACAGCACAGAAAGUAAAACAUGGCCUCAAUGACAAUUUCAAGUUAAAAUAGCUUAGUCUCAAAGCAGACAUGAUAGGAUCAACCUCAGGUAAACUCCAAAACUCACUUUCUAGUACAGAAAUCCAUUGAUGUUCGUCACUUGUAAAGCACAAACUGCUUCCUAAUACUUUAGCAGCAAGAGGUGAACCCACACAUUUUCUCACUAACUUUUUGCCUAUUGCCACAAGCUCUGCACGCUCUUCUCUAUUUGCUACAAAAGCUUGUUGUUUGAACAAAGACCAGAUGUCAUCAUCAGAUAAGCUUGCUAAAUGAUGAGCAUCAGAAGUUCCCAUGAUGGAUGCAACAAUGUCAAGUCUGGUAGUGACCAAAAUUGAUGCACCUUUCUUUCCAUGUUGCAACGAAGACUUGAACUUAUUCCAUUUCUCUUGGUCUUCACUCCACACAUCAUCAAGAACAAGCAAAUACCUUUUGUUUUGCAAAAUUUCUUGAACCUUUUUUCGCAUUGACUCUAAAGAGGAGAGAUUUGGAUUUUUUCCAAUGGUGUCUUCUAUGAUGGACUCUAAAACCUUCAUCAUACUGAAAUCAUCAGAAACACACACCCAUAUUUUCAAGUCAAAAUGUGUCUUUACACUUUCAUCAUUGAAGACCAUUUGAGCAAGUGUUGUUUUUCCAUAUCCACCGUGGCCAACAAUGGAAUAGACAGAGAGUUCUUCACUCUCACUGGCGUGCCUUAGCAGAAACUCUACAAUCUGUUCUUUAUCUUUGUCUCUUCCAUAUACUUUCGGUUCGGUGACAGCAGAAGUAGUUUGGCGCCAUUCAUCAUCUCGUCGUUGGCGCUCCUCCGUGACUGCAAAUUGUUGUAAUCCGAACUUCAUCCUUUCUUCAGCAAUAUCAUCGAUCUUUUUAGCAACCUCCUUCAUCCUCUUUCCAAUGUUGCGACGAGCCAAAAUCUUCAUAGGAUGGAAACGAGUGAUCCGCUUGUUGUCGCCAUGUGCUCUUAAGGUUAUUGAACAUUCAUCCAAUAUAUCAUCAAUCACAUAAGCAGCAUCAAUCAGUUGCUGUAGCCACUCUUUGACAGCAUCGUUUGUUAUUUGCUUCUUUUCUGCAUCUUUUAGGACAGCACGGAUUAAAGUGAGCUUUCUAGAUAGGCUUUGGGUCAAUUCUCCAACACCCAAAUAGGUAGCAAACUCCUCUUGUACAAAUGAUCCGAGGUUUUGAAUCAAGAUUCCAAGUAAAGCAUCAGCCAUUUUCAGAUGUGAGAACAGAAAUGAAUCAAAGUUGUUUGGAUUGGAGAUGAUUUUGCUCUAGGAAGAUGAAAUAUGAGUUGUUAUUUGUUUUCAAAGAUUAUAUAUUAAAUCAG
rnacentral:lncRNA from 1 species